rnacentral:rRNA from 1 species
UACGGAGGGGGCAAGCGUUAUUCGGAAUCACUGGGCUUAAAGGGUGCGUAGGCGGACCGGAAAGCGUCCUGUGAAAUCCCACGGCUCAACCGUGGAACUGCAGGGCGAACUGCCGGUCUUGAGGAAGGUAGGCGCCGACGGAACAGUAGGUGGAGCGGUGAAAUGCGUAGAUAUCUGGAGGAACACCGGUGGCGAAGGCGGCAUCCUGGACCAAUUCUGACGCUGAGGAGCGAAAGCCAGGGGAGCAAACGGG